UACGUAGGGGGCAAGCGUUGUCCGGAAUCAUUGGGCGUAAAGAGCGUGUAGGCGGCCCGAUAAGUCCGCUGUGAAAGUCCAGGGCUCAACCCUGGAAUGCCGGUGGAUACUGUCGGGCCCGAAUCCGGAAGAGGUGAGUGGAAUUCCUGGUGUAGCGGUGAAAUGCGCAGAUAUCAGGAGGAACACCAAUGGCGAAGGCAGCUCACUGGGACGGUAUUGACGCUGAGACGCGAAAGCGUGGGGAGCAAACAGG
rnacentral:rRNA from 1 species